rnacentral:rRNA from 1 species
GGUGCCUAACAAUGCAAGUCGAGCGGUAACAGGUGUAGCAAUACAUGCUGACGAGCGGCGAACGGGUGAGUAAUGUUUCGGAAUCUGCCCAAUGGUGGGGAAUAACCAGCCGAAAGGUUGGCUAAUACCGCAUAAGCCCUACGGGGGAAAGCGGGGGAUCGCAAGACCUCGCGCCGAUNGAUGAGCCGAAACCGGAUUAGCUAGUUGGUAGGGUAACGGCCUACCAAGGCGACGAUCCGUAGCUGGUCUGAGAGGACGACCAGCCACACUGGGACUGAGACACGGCCCAGACUCCUACGGGAGGCAGCAGUGGGGAAUAUUGGACAAUGGGGGAAACCCUGAUCCAGCGACGCCGCGUGUGUGAAGAAGGCCUGCGGGUUGUAAAGCACUUUUAGUGGGGAUGAAAAGCUCAGGGCUAAUACCGCUGAGUCUUGACCUAACCCAAAGAAAAAGCACCGGCUAACUCUGUGCCAGCAGCCGCGGUAAUACAGAGGGUGCAAGCGUUAAUCGGAAUUACUGGGCGUAAAGCGUGCGUA